GUGUCAGCCGCCGCGGUAAUACGAAGGCCCCGAGCGUUAUCCGGAUUUAUUGGGCGUAAAGCGUUAAUAGGCGGUUCUGUAAGUAUUUGGUUAAAUCUCAUGGCUCAACCAUGAGGCUGCCGGAUAAACUGCAGGACUUGAGGUCGGAAGAGGCAAGCGGAACUACCGGUGUAGUGGUAAAAUGCGUUAAUAUCGGUAGGAACACCAAAGGCGAAGGCAGCUUGCUGGUACGAACCUGACGCUAAAUAACGAAAGCGUGGGGAGCGAAUGGGAUUAGAAACCCCAGUAGUCC
rnacentral:rRNA from 1 species